GACGAACGCUGGCGGCGUGCUUAACACAUGCAAGUCGAACGGAAAGGCCCUGCUUUUGUGGGGUGCUCGAGUGGCGAACGGGUGAGUAACACGUGAGUAACCUGCCCUUGACUUUGGGAUAACUUCAGGAAACUGGGGCUAAUACCGGAUAGGAGCUCCCGCUGCAUGGUGGGGGUUGGAAAGUUUCGGCGGUUGGGGAUGGACUCGCGGCUUAUCAGCUUGUUGGUGGGGUAGUGGCUUACCAAGGCUUUGACGGGUAGCCGGCCUGAGAGGGUGACCGGCCACAUUGGGACUGAGAUACGGCCCAGACUCCUACGGGAGGUAGCAGUGGGGAAUAUUGCACAAUGGGCGGAAGCCUGAUGCAGCAACGCCGCGUGCGGGAUGACGGCCUUCGGGUUGUAAACCGCUUUCGCCUGUGACGAAGCGUGAGGGACGGUAAUGGGUAAAGAAGCACCGGCUAACUACGU
rnacentral:rRNA from 1 species